rnacentral:rRNA from 1 species
UACAGAGGCUGCAAGCGUUGUUCGGAUUCAUUGGGCGUAAAGGGUGCGUAGGCGGCGCGGUAAGUCGGGUGUGAAAUCUCGGAGCUUAACUCCGAAACUGCAUUCGAUACUGCCGUGCUUGAGGACUGGAGAGGAGACUGGAAUUUACGGUGUAGCGGUGAAAUGCGUAGAUAUCGUAAGGAAGACCAGUGGCGAAGGCGGGUCUCUGGACAGUUCCUGACGCUGAGGCACGAAGGUCAGGGGAGCAAACGGG